rnacentral:snRNA from 1 species
AUGCUCACUUCAGCAGCACAUAUACUAAAGUUGGAACAAUACAGAGAAGAUUAGCAUGGCCCCUGCACAAGGAUGACAUGCAAAUUCGUGAAGUGUUCCAUAUUUUU